CAACAUCAGACACACAGUUACCAGCAGUACGUUACAUGCAUGGCACACACUUUCAAAAAUUACGGUACACACACAGGCUAGCUUACGAGGUCUUGCUAGCUAACUGCGCUGCAUUUGUCUCUGCAAUAACAAUAUGCUCGGAUUGUCGAUCGGAACAUUACAACGUCCCGAAACAGCAUGAACAGAGUGCGAAGAUGACAAGAGAAAGACAUACCCCGAGACAUACUCUAGUUCUUGGACUGGCAUCUUGAUUCUCAACGAUAUUUUAGGACAAAUCGUGACUUGAAAAGAUUCAAAUUCUCCUGUCAAAGAAAUGAAAGAAGGCUGACUUAUAAGACAUGAACCUUGCAUGAGUGCCCUAAAGCUCGACUGGGAGAUAUUAAAAUUUAGACCUGGUAUCAGUCGGAUCAACCUGAAGGCUAAACAAAUGCUGUAAGCAGUCCUCUGAAUUUGCUGGCUCUUAGUGUUUGACAUUACACUGUAAUUCUUCGCUUGGAAGGCUCGGAAUAGGACAGACAUAAACGGAAAAGUGAGGAGAAACGAGGCUGAUCAGGAUGACCAGUGUUGGGUCAUCAUCAGUGGUCUGGGAAGCUCUGGGAUGUCUGGCAGGCAUUGACUGGAUCGCUCUCUUCUUUUGGUGUCUUAUCACUUUCUCCCUCUGCCUCGUAUCCAUUCUUCUGAUCAGUUUAUUCCUGCCUGUCACAAUAAAGGAGAAUGAAGGACUACAUGCAGAUGAUCUUGGGCAACCACCUCAGGGACUAGAAGUCUUCCAACAACUCUUCUCCCAAAAGAUUCUCCCAAUAGAUUCCAGCACAGGUUGGCAGCUACUUGGUGUCCAACAUGAUCUCCGGUGUUGGGAGAAACAGGUUAGACUUGGUGGGAGCUACUACAGUCUUCAUGGAUCAAGUGCUAUUGUUUCAUCCAGUGCAAUGGGUAUCAUGGAGACUCUGAAAGACAUCACCAAGACCACAGAAUGGGACAACGAAGUCAGUGAAAGCAACUACAUUUCCGUCCCGACCACCACCAAUGCCUCAGACCACCAUCCCCUGAUGGUUGACGUAGUCAGCUUGACCCUCGCCAAACGGAAAACACUCUCACCAAGUUUUAUCGACAAACUCGUUGCUUUUCUUGCCAUACCCUACAACGUGCUGUCCCAGGGGUCUGGGUAUAGCACUUACAGGAAUGCCCCUAAACCAGCUGUGGUUGCAAGAUCUUGGAAGAUGGAAGGAGACUCAUCAGGUUGGAUGUUCAGUCGGACAGUGUCUAAGGGCAAAGGUCACUCACUUGAUGAAUUAUGGAGUUACACACUAUUACAGUCAUCUGCAGAAGAUACCAAUAAGAGUCUUAUCCAUCACCUAGCCUGCACCAUGCUAUCAGAUAAGAACGCUUCACACUCUGAGAAACCUGCCUCAAGACUAUCUGCUCUCAAACAUUACUUUGAGCUGAAGCAUCUUAAAGUAGGCCCACUAUGCCAUUGCAGCCUUAAACAUCUCACCAGCCACACUUUGCAGUCCAAAGCCUGCAUCAAUGGCACCUCCAAUAAAUACUCUUUGAAGGAGUCACUUCCAGACAGUGUCAUGCCUAUAUACAACGCAUUGGACAGUCCGAGCAGGUCAGAUAGUCAAGUGAUGGAGAAACUGAGUUUGAGUUGGCCAAAUGAUACCAACAGGCCAAGAGCUUCCAGUCUUGAUGUGUGGCAGGAUAACUCUUCCAGUGAUGAUGCAGGGUUUUACAGCGAGAGGCAUUAUAGGAGUCGUAGGCAGAGAGCCAAGAAGACUAUGAGUGCCGAUGUAACGGCAGGGGGAGAAGGGAGGAAGAGGAAUUCCUUGGAGAGGAAGACAAGGUCAUUGGAAAGAACCACCAAUGAGAAGGAAUUGGGAGAUAUAGAAGACAGUGGGGUUGCAGAUAAUAUGGUUGAGUAUCAAACAUUAGCUGAUCAAGGAGCAGAAGUGGUAUUGGAGGAAAGUAUCAAAGCAGCAAGGAUUAAUGUUAACGGUUCUGAGGAUGAUCAGAUGCAGCAGACAGGUGGAUGGUCAUUCCAUUGUCUUGAGAAGGAUGUGGUAAUACUGAAGAAACCAAAGAAUGGAAAGUAUUACAGCUACCUUGGAAAGGGAGUGAUCAAAGCAUCUCCUGCUGCUGUCUUCAAAGCCAUUAGAAACCCAAGGACUAGAUUCACCUAUGAUACAAUGUUGAAGAAAAUGGACAUUGUAAAAACCUUCUCAGACAAUUUGUGUGUCUAUCACAUGGUCCAUGAAGUGCCUCAAAUCUUGAAAAAGGAAUCAAGAGAUUUCUGUGUGCUACAAGUCUGUAAAACAGUGGGUGAGCGUUAUAUUGUGGCUUGCCGAUCCAUUGAUUGUAGAGACUGUCCAGAGGAAGGGUCAUUGGUCAGAGGUCAGUUAUUACCUAGUGGAUGGGUCAUUGAACCAGUGGGAAACCAGUACUCAAUGGUCACCUACAUUACUCAUGUUGCCUUGUGUGGUAAAGAUGUCCCAGUGGCCUUCAAUCAGUUCCUAUCUGUUCGAGUGCCACUCAGCAUUGCUUACCUACGUCUCUUCCUGGAAGCACAGCUGCCUUGAUCACUCUUGUAAUGCCUGUAAUAUCAUGCCUUCAGACAGUUCAUCAUUAUGUUCAGAGAAACCAGCAUAGAAUGACAGGAAUGGGCUAUUGGAAUUCCUUAUACCUUUCGUAAAUGAUACGGAUCAUAUAUUUCCCACGGCAUCACUAAUUUACAAGUGCUGAAGUUAUAAUCCUGAUAAGUAAUUUGUUUAUUUGGUCUUUAAUGAUAAUAGCCAUUACCUUUUGAUGUAUUUUUUAAUUAGUAUCCUUGGGAUCAUUUGGGUUAAACAAUUGGGAAACUGUUAUCUUGCAGUACUAAAGUGCAAUAAAAAUCAAACUUGUUGCAUAUA
rnacentral:misc_RNA from 1 species